rnacentral:rRNA from 1 species
CUACGGGGGGCAGCAGUGGGGAAUAUUGGACAAUGGGGGAAACCCUGAUCCAGCAAUGCCGCGUGUGUGAAGAAGGCCUGCGGGUUGUAAAGCACUUUCGGUUGGGAGGACUGCUUCUAGCACUAAUAUUGUUGGAAGUUGACGUUACCUUCAGAAGAAGCACCGGCUAACUCCGUGCCAGCAGCCGCGGUAAUACGGAGGGUGCAGCGUUAAUCGGAAUUACUGGGCGUAAAGCGCGCGUAGGCGGCCAGAUCAGUCGGGUGUGAAAGCCCCGGGCUUAACCUGGGAACUGCAUCCGAUACUGUCUAGCUUGAGUACAGGAGAGGAGAGUGGAAUUCCACAUGUAGCGGUGAAAUGCGUAGAUAUGUGGAGGAACACCAAUGGCGAAGGCAGCUCUCUGGCCUGAUACUGACGCUGAGGUGCGAAAGCGUGGGGAGCAAACAGGAUUAGAUACCCUCGUAGUC